GUGGCCUGACGUCACACUCCCACAAUGCUCGCGCCCCAUAACUCCGCUGCAGCCUGAGCACAGAGCGAGACACUCAGGCCCCGAAUAUAGAAAAAUUAUAGAAAAAAUUGGAAAAAAUAAUAAAACAACAGAUCGAAGAGAGAAAGUCCGGGAAAGGUGGCGUGGGGUCUCCCGCCGUCGCUUUGCUUCCAGUCCGGAUGGAUUGUUGCCGGGUUUCCAUAAGAAAUUGACAAAUGCGGCGCUGGGAACUUUUUGGGCAUUAAGGAUGCAGAACACUAUUCCCCACUCACCCCCAACCAUAGCUGUUGGUACAGGGUGAGGAGGCGGAGGAGGAG